rnacentral:rRNA from 1 species
CGGCGGACGGGUGAGUAAUGUAUGGGGAUCUGCCUGAUGGCGGGGGGUAACUACUGGAAACGGUAGCUAAUACCGCAUAAUGUCUACGGACCAAAGCGGGGGACCUCCGGGCCUCGCGCCAUCAGAUGAACCCAUAUGGGAUUAGCUAGUAGGUAAGGUAACGGCUUACCUAGGCGACGAUCCCUAGCUGGUCUGAGAGGAUGAUCAGCCACACUGGGACUGAGACACGGCCCAG